UCAAGUGAAUAUUAACUUUCCUAUGUAUUUUGGUUUUUUUACAUGACAAUCAAGCUUUAAAUUAUAAGAAAUUUUUAAAUUAUUUAAUAAUUAUAUUACGUAUCAACUUGUCAACCAAAAAAAAAUAUAUUUGAAUAACAGGGCAGAUAAGAUGUCCGUUAGCUAAACCGAAAUAACACACACAACGCACAGCGAUGGCGGAAAAAGAACACCUUUAUAAUUUGGCACACUGCUCUACAUUAGAGAACAAGUACACACUACUUAAGAUAAAAAUCUGAAGGCCAUACUCUUUUAAUGCAGAGGAUUAAAAAAGACCCUUUACACAAGCGUGAACGGGUGAUGGAUAAUAUAAGAAAGGUUCCUCUUCGUUUUUGUAUACAAUUAGGUACCUAUUCAGUGGAAAGAUUAUCAUUUAUUCCAUUCAUCUAUAUAAGAUUUGUCUUAAAAGCUAUUCAAAAUAGUAUAAAUAUAAAUGGUAUAAGUACAAACGUAAGUGACGACAAGUCAAGUAAUUUCUCUGCAAUUUUUGAACAUUUGUUGAAAAACAUAGGUAUGCCGCAUUGCUAUCCUAUGUAAUAGUGGGUAUUGCUUUGUGCCUUACUUUACCAAUAUUUCAUCUAAGGCCUAAAAAUGCAACAGUUAAAACUAUUGUUAAAUGUUGUAAAUGAUUGUAUUUGUAAUAUUUGUAGAAAUAAGUAAUAUUUCAUCUACCUGUUAUAUGUGUCUUUCGCUCGUAAUGUGUGUUUUAUUACAAUAAAAAUAAAUAUAUAUUUGUCUUCAUAACAACCAUAAAAAUUGA
rnacentral:lncRNA from 1 species